GAUGAACGCUAGCUACAGGCUUAACACAUGCAAGUCGAGGGGAAACGAUAUUGGAAGCUUGCUUCCGAUAGGCCUCGACCGGCGCACGGGUGAGUAACGCGUAUCCAACCUGCCCACCACUUGGGGAUAACCUUGCGAAAGUAAGACUAAUACCCAAUGAUAUCCCUAGCAGACAUCUGAAGGCGAUUAAAGAUUCAUCGGUGAUGGAUGGGGAGGCGUCUGAUUAGCUUGUUGGCGGGGUAACGGCCCACCAAGGCGACGAUCAGUAGGGGUUCUGAGAGGAAGGUCCCCCACAUUGGAACUGAGACACGGUCCAAACUCCUACGGGAGGCAGCAGUGAGGAAUAUUGGUCAAUGGGCGAGAGCCUGAACCAGCCAAGUAGCGUGCAGGAUGACGGCCCUAUGGGUUGUAAACUGCUUUUAUAAGGGAAUAAAGUGAGUCUCGUGAGACUUUUUGCAUGUACCUUAUGAAUAAGGACCGGCUAAUUCCGUGCCAGCCGCCGCAGUAA
rnacentral:rRNA from 1 species